CACCGCGGUUAUACGAGCAACCCUAAUUGAUAGAUACGGCGUAAAGAGUGGUUAAGGAUAAAUACUAAAUAAAGCCGAAUAACCUCCCGACUGUUAAAAGUACUGCGAGAUCACUAAGACCACUAACGAAAGUAGCUUUAAUAAAUUCCUGACUCCACGAAAGCUAAGAAA
rnacentral:rRNA from 1 species